CCAUCCAAAAUGUAAGGCAGACAUGAUCGAUGCGAUCGAUGAAUUUCGUAUGGCUAAUUGUGGCUAAAAAUCGUAGUGAAAUUUCGCUUUUUGUCGUCAUGGAUUUCAUCCAUUAAUUAAUUUUAUCUUUUGUCGGUAGGUAAGAUACAAUGAGCCGCAGCCAAUUCAGCAGUGGCAGGCUCGAUCACCAGGGAUACAACACGCCACGCCGCACACAAAAAUUAGUCAAUACUCCUGUUAAACACUACUGAUAAUCGUCCGUGCAAUCUCUUCCGACCAUUCUCGAGUGCUCGAUCAAUUCUUGACGCCGAGCGGCAUGAUGGGCAUGCCGUCCUGCGCGG
rnacentral:lncRNA from 1 species